rnacentral:rRNA from 1 species
CCUACGGGAGGCAGCAGUGGGGAAUAUUGGACAAUGGGGGCAACCCUGAUCCAGCCAUGCCGCGUGUGUGAAGAAGGCCCUCGGGUUGUAAAGCACUUUCAGUGAGGAAGAACGCCUGGUGGUUAAUACCCAUCAGGAAAGACAUCACUCACAGAAGAAGCACCGGCUAACUCCGUGCCAGCAGCCGCGGUAAUACGGAGGGUGCGAGCGUUAAUCGGAAUUACUGGGCGUAAAGCGCGCGUAGGUGGCUUGAUAAGCCGGUUGUGAAAGCCCCGGGCUCAACCUGGGAACGGCAUCCGGAACUGUCAAGCUAGAGUGCAGGAGAGGAAGGUAGAAUUCCCGGUGUAGCGGUGAAAUGCGUAGAGAUCGGGAGGAAUACCGGUGGCGAAGGCGGCCUUCUGGACUGACACUGACGCUGAGGUGCGAAAGCGUGGGUAGCAAACAGGAUUAGAUACCCGGGUAGUC